rnacentral:rRNA from 1 species
AUUGAACGCUGGCGGCAGGCCUAACACAUGCAAGUCGAACGAGUGGCGGACGGGUGAGUAAUGUCUGGGAAACUGCCCGAUGGAGGGGGAUAACUACUGGAAACGGUAGCUAAUACCGCAUACCAUCGGAUGUGCCCAGAUGGGAUUAGCUAGUAGGUGGGGUAACGGGUCACCUAGGCGACGAUCCCUAGCUGGUCUGAGAGGAUGACCAGCAACACUGGAACGGGGACAGGGUCCAGACUCCUACGGAAGGCAGCAGUGGGGAAUAUUGCACAAGGGGCGCAAGCCGGAUGCAGCCAGGCCGCGUGUAUGAAGAAGGCCUUCGGGUUGUAAAGUACUUUCAGCGAGAAGGCGUUACUCGCAGAAGAAGCACCGGCUAACUCCGUGCCAGCAGCCGCGGUAAUUC